CGUCCACUCCUACGGGAGGCAGCAGUGGGGAAUAUUGCACAAUGGGCGCAAGCCUGAUGCAGCCAUGCCGCGUGUGUGAAGAAGGCCUUCGGGUUGUAAAGCACUUUCAGCGGGGAGGAAGGCGAUACGGUUAAUAACCGUGUUGAUUGACGUUACCCGCAGAAGAAGCACCGGCUAACUCCGUGCCAGCAGCCGCGGUAAUACGGAGGGUGCAAGCGUUAAUCGGAAUUACUGGGCGUAAAGCGCACGCAGGCGGUCUGUCAAGUCGGAUGUGAAAUCCCGGGGGUCAACCUGGGAACUGCAUUCGAAACUGGCAGGCUUGAGUCUUGUAGAGGGGGGUAGAAUUCCAGGUGUAGCGGUGAAAUGCGUAGAGAUCUGGAGGAAUACCGGUGGCGAAGGCGGCCCCCUGGACAAAGACUGACGCUCAGGUGCGAAAGCGUGGGGAGCAAACAGGAUUAGAAACCCCUGUAGUCCCA
rnacentral:rRNA from 1 species